UGUAUUAACUUAAAUCAUUAAAAUUCGUUAAUCUUAAUUAACCUAGAUGAGUAUUUAGAACUUUUUCUUAUUUUUGAGUUUGUAAAAAUUAAAUCUUUCAAGUAAGGUGAACGAUUUUGCUGUGUUUAAUUUAUACAAAAUGUCUCUUUAAAGUUUCAUUAACUCAAAAUCUUUCAGCCCAGUGAUUUUGCGUGUGACGUCAUCCAGGUUCACGUACGUUCUCGUGCUUCAUUCGUUUUUUCAAGAUGGCGGAUCGGCCUCGCUUCACACUACAAAUUGAAGGUCGGUUGUUGCUGACUACAGAAAGAUUCUUAUAUGGAGGCAUGUAAAAGCAAGGAAAGUGAAACUUCAGCUAGACCUUGAGUUCAGUUUACAAUACGAAGAUCCUGAUAUC